UACAGAGGCCUCGAGCGUUGCGCGGAAUCACUGGGCUUAAAGGGUGCGUAGGCGGAUGUGCAAGUGCCUUGUGAAAUCCCCGGGCUCAACCCGGGAACUGCUUGGUAGACUGCAUGUCUUGAGGUCGGUAGGGGUUGCUGGAACAGUUGGUGGAGCGGUGAAAUGCGUAGAUAUCAACUGGAACGCCAAAGGCGAAGGCAAGCAACUGGGCCGAUUCUGACGCUGAGGCACGAAAGCGUGGGGAGCAAACGGG
rnacentral:rRNA from 1 species